rnacentral:tRNA from 1 species
UGGGCUAUAGCCAAAUGGUAAGGCACUGGACUCUGACUCCAGCAUUUCCAGGUUCGAGCCCUGGUAGCCCAGCUA